ensembl:lncRNA
UUCUGGGAUUUUAUUGAACGGAAAGCGCUUCUUCCCAAGGCUGAUGAGUUGCUUGUAAAAGCUUGAAAGCGGGGCAGGUGGGUGGUGCCGAGCUGGGGAGGCAGUCUUGCCUGUUUGGGAUGGCUUCCCGCUCCAGAGGAAGAUCAAGGGCCUUCUCCUGGGGUGGCAGGAGAAGGUUGGGGGAAAUGGCCCUUCAUGCGGUCGAACCUUCCUGAGCUUUGGUUUCCCUACCUGUGCAAUGAGAGGCCGGGACUGGAAGACUCCUCGAGACCCUCCAGCUCCAUGGCUGCACACCUUCAAAGGCUUUCACAGGUUUUAUUAGGAUGUUAGAAAUGUCAUCCUUGGGCCAGGGCUCUGCAUCUGACAUUGGCAGAGGGGAUGGGAGUUGCCUUGUCCAACCGAAGCUGGGAGAAGGAGCCAGCUCCCGGAUUCCCAGGCCUCUUCCUGUGCUUCAGGCCUUCCGGCUUCAGGUCUCUGGGGAGCCUGGGCACAGCCCACUGAAGGCCCGGGAAUCUGCAUUUUAACAAGCCCAGCAAGUGGCUCUGCUCACACUGAAGUCUGAGAACUUACUCCAGGAAUUCCCCAGGGAAAAGGAAGGCGUUUGGGGCCUGGCAUUGACCUAUGAAAUUCCAGAAACAGCAGAGCUUUUCAGAAGAUAGUUCGGCGUCUGACUCAGCUUCCCUGAUAAACAGACACUGCCGGCCAGGAUUUUCCCAGCCCAAGAAGCCAAAACCUCAUUUCCGGGUGGAAGUUCAGCUCUGCCUUUGGAGCUGAGGGCCCAGCCAGCACCCCUUCUCCCUACUCUUCACUGCUGUCUCCUCAUGAUGAGAAUGCCAGCUCCGGCCACUCUGGCCCGGGCUCCGGCCUGCGGGGCAGCAGGACUGACACAAGCCCCUGGAAGCCGGGGGAAGGCUCGGUACCCCUCAAAGCUCUCCCAGCUGCACCCUGCCGGUGCUGCCCCUCAGGCUUCCUGAUCCCUGUCCUGUCCAUCAAGCAGGUGGGUCCCUGGUUGACAGCGCUUUGCACUCGAAGCAGGCCAGCCACUGGCAUGGCUCCGUCUCUACUAAGGGGCCCCUGGCUUGCUCUGCCUCCCAGCCCGGUGCCCAGAUCUCUGUGAAGGGGAGAGCCGUUGGAGAAGCCAGGUGGGGCCUGGGGAGAGCCGGCCUCCUGUGGACAGAGCCCAUGUGGUGGCCCAGUUUCUUUUCGGCCCUUUUCACAGUUCAGGGUCUGGGCCUCGCUUUGCUGCUCAGAAACCUUGCUUGCAACAGGCCUAGGAGGCUCAGGGGCAGACUCACAAAGCUCCAGAAGACGAACGGAUACAAUCGGAAUGCCGUUUCAAUGAUUUUCAAUGAAAAAUAUAACCGCUGUCAAACCAACCAGAUGCUUCGGUUUGCUGAUGGGCUCCUGCACUGCCUGUUGGCAGUUUCACAUGGGGUGGGAACAUUACUCAGAGAGCUCAGAAACUGGGCAAGGAGAGCUAGCUGAAUGGUCCUCACAAAGCGCCAGCCUGUCCUCCGCCGGGAUCCACCAGGCCGUCAGGUUCAGGACACCCUGCCCCAGCGCAGCUCUGGAGAGUACCCCCACACAUAUUUGGUGCCACAGAUACAACCUCCCUAGCUUAGCACAUUCUUUCUUUGGGCAGAGCACGUUGCAAUUGCUUAGAGAGUCACUUUCACACGUCCACUUAUAAUACCAGUCAUGUUGCUGCAAGGAUUGAAUGAGACGACACAGGAACAUGCUUUGUAAGCGCUGCUUCACCGCAGAAACCUAAGGCGUGAGAGUCAGUCCUCAGGGCCGGCUUAGUAAAGGGCCUCCACCUGUUCUCCCAGCCCCUUAUAAAGGGGAAUCUGAUUGUUAAAUCAGUGAAAACCCACCCGCUAAUAAACCCAUCACCAUGGAUUGAGACCUUACCAUUGUUCUAGGUGCCAUGGAAAAUACAGACGCAAUUAAGACGCGGUCCCCUCCCUCAAGGAAUUUAUGUAUAAUAAAGUUGAAGCUAUAAACCAACACCUACAGGGUGAUUGUGAACAGCACAAGGGGGAGUGUGCUAAGGGUAUGUGUCUGGUAUAGAAAACGUGUAAGACACUCAAGUCCCUUUGGACUUGGCUGUAAUGGGACACUCGUGUGGACGAGGGACAGACCACUGGCUGUAUUGGGUCCUGCUCUUGGAUCACUGGAUUGGGCAGUAGAGGAAUAAGUCCCCUUACUGGGGCUCUAGGCGCCUAGGAUCUCACUUGAGGCUGCUCAGCUGAAAUGUGAGAGUGCAGCUGUCCUCACGACAACGUUAGACUCGCUCUCACCUAGCCAUGGAGGAAAUGACAGCAAGGGUCAGAAUGAGCAGACAUAUGCCCAGUAGGGGCCGGGGAUAGCGUUGGUUAGCUCCCUCCCUUGCCAGCCAUGGGUAGGGGUGGGGUGAGGCAGCAAGCAGCUGGCUCAUUGACCGAGCUCCCUAGGAGCCAGAACCCCCACCAGGCUCCUUCGUUCCUCUCCCCCAACCCGAAGAGGCUCACCGUGUCUAGAGGGCUCUGAAAGCCUCGAUGGGAGCCACAGCUGCAGCUCCCUCUCGCUCAGCAGACUCAGCUUGGUUCAUUCGGCAACAAGUGUCCGAUGGC